rnacentral:lncRNA from 1 species
AUUGUAUGCUAAAGAAUACUCAUUGUCUAUCGAGAAGGUUAUAAUAACUGCUUUUCAGAAAAGCAAUGUUCUUUUUGCAGGGCUCCUCUUUCUUUAUACAAUACAUGAUAUUUUAUAAUUAUUUUAAAGAAAGAGCUGUGAAUGUCCAAUGCAGUGAGCUCAGUAUGUUUGACCUCUCACUACAAUGCUGCCCCUUUAACCACGAGGAGUGUCCAGUGUGUUUGCAGAUGUUAGUUUCUUGAGUGAAAUGUGAAGGAAAUUUUUACAAAGAAGCCUGAAGCUGUUAGUCCAGAGAAAAAUCUUUAUUAGAAAAAAAUGCUCAGUGAUAAGUAGCCUCAUUCCUCUACGGUAGAACCUCACCAAGAGCACUUGAAGCUAGAGAAGUUGACUUGGGAAAGGAGAGUGUGCUUUGAGGAUGAGGUUGGGGCAAUCUCUAUGCUGUUUGGGCUGCUUCUGUAACAUGCUUCUAAUGUUUUCACUUUCUCUAGCAGAAAGACGGAUUCUAGUGAUGAAAGUGGAGACCAGAUAAGAAGGAGGAGUCCAUGUCUCACAGUGUUUCCCUGAAUUCCAUUGUGCAAACAGCCAGUUGGUCUACCUACCUUCCUGUUAUUCUACAAUGUUGUUCUAAGAUACGACAAUACCCUACUGUGAAGACGGCAGCCGUAAUUCACCUUUACCAACGGACUUGGCUUUGUCAGAGUCGGGGAGGAGGGCAUGGGCAUUAUUCUUGUUCUAGACUUGAAGAGCCAGAGAAGAUGCAACUGUGAUGCAAAUAAAAACCCCAGGUUCUUCGCA